UACGGAGGGUGCAAGCGUUGUUCGGAAUCAUUGGGCGUAAAGCGCGUGUAGGCGGCUUGGUAAGUCGGGUGUGAAAUCCCGGGGCCCAACCCCGGAACUGCAUUCGAAACUGCCGUCGCUAGAGUCCCGGAGAGGAAGGCGGAAUUCCCGGUGUAGAGGUGAAAUUCGCAGAUAUCAGGAGGAACACCGGUGGCGAAGGCGGGUCUCUGGGCCGGAGUACUGACGCUGAGGAGCGAAGCGUGGGAGCGAACAGG
rnacentral:rRNA from 1 species